rnacentral:rRNA from 1 species
AACGCGAAGAACCUUACCUGGAUUUGACAUCCCGAGAAGUCUUUUGAAAGGAAGAUGUGCCCUUCGGGGAACUCGGUGACAGGUGCUGCAUGGCUGUCGUCAGCUCGUGUCGUGAGAUGUUGGGUUAAGUCCCGCAACGGGCGCAACCCCUAUCUUUAGUUACCAUCAUUAAGUUGGGGACUCUAAAGAUACUGCCCCGGUUAACGGGGAGGAAGGUGGGGAUGACGUCAAGUCCUCAUGGCCUUUAUAUCCAGGGCUACACACGUGCUACAAUGGGCUGUACAAAGGGUUGCAAACCCGCGAGGGUAAGCUAAUCUCAUAAAGCAGCUCUAAGUUCGGAUUGGAGUCUGCAACUCGACUCCAUGAAGCUGGAAUCGCUAGUAAU